rnacentral:lncRNA from 1 species
UGAAAUGUGACACUUAAAACUCUAAAACGAAAGAUAAAUGCCAAAAAAUCAAGGUGAGUGAUUCAGGCUCUUGAGAGCCUCUUCUUCAUCUUAUAAUUAUAAAAAAAAACAAAAAAAAACCAGAAUAUAUAUGUUUAAUUCAGAUUCAUUCUACUCUGCCAUAUAACCCAAAGGGCAGCUACUCAGAAAUACUUUUUUAAAGGCGC